ensembl:lncRNA
AUAGUAAAAAUAAAGAAAAACCCUGUAAUGAGUAGGUGUGUACAAACCUUUGACUGGUACUGUAUAUAGCAGUGUUUAUUGGCUGUGUAAUAGCUGUGUCGCGGUUCUUAGCUGUGUGAUGGGGGGUCACUUCUCUACUUAUUUGUGAGGUGCUUAGGUGUGUGAUGGGGCGUCAGUUCUUUACUUAUUUGUGAGGUUCUUAGCUGUGUGAUGGGGGGUCACUUCUCUACUUAUUUGUGAGGUUCUUAGCUGUGUGAUGGGGAGUCACUUCUCUACUUAUUUGUGAGGUUCUUAGCUGUGUGAUGGGGG